GAAAACUAACGUUACAAAUGAAUUAAUUUCAAGAGAUUUUAUAAUUAACAACCUUGGAUUUUUUUUUCCCAAAUGCGUUGAGUCAUUCAUUACUCUUUAAAAACUCGCUUUGUACUAUGACUAAUUUUGUCCAGUUUUGCUGAAAUGAAAUAAGUCAGCUUCUGUUACCUGCUUAACGUUUUCUUUAUUUAUGCAAUCACUAAACGUUUCUGGAGGGGCCCCUUUCUAGCCCUGAUGAACAGGAGUUUUUAAGCAGCUGAGGGCUGCUUUGCGCAGAUUGAUCAAGGUAACACAAGCCAAUAUCCUGAAUCCCAGGCUUGUGACCAGCCACCAAACCGGUACCCAAAGGACAGGAGUGGUCCAAGCAGCAGUAGCAAAUGUCAUCUCCCACUAAACCUGCCCAGAGGAAAAUGGAGAAGUAUACUCAAAGAUGGUGUUUGCCUACCUCACAGUGCAAAGCAAAGUCUCAGUGACAUGACUCCACAUUUUUAUUUUGCACUUCAGAUUGUCUCAAAUAUUUCCAGUGGAUGGUAAAUGCUGUCUUCUGUAACAAGUUCUCCUGAAGCCUUACUUGAUCAUGAUUACAAGGUAAAUCUCAUAAUCAGAGACUCUUCUAAAUGCUGAAGGAUUGCUGGGGUUCAGAAGGAUCUAUCUCAGCUUAUAUGUAACUCAAUUUCAAACGAGGAUCAAUAUUCUUCAUAAAUAUCCUAAAACUUACUCCGGUCAGUGGAUAAAACUUUUCUAGAGAAGAAAGUAUACUUUUGUUGUUAUAGAAUUUGAAAAAGAACAUGAACUUAGAAGGGUUUCAGUCUCCUUUUGAGAGGGAAGUUCUUUAGAAGUUAUGGAAAAUAGACUUUCUUGAAAAUACAUUUCUAUACAAAAGGAACGUCAAGUAUUUCUGAAAAUGUGAGAAUAGAGAAAGAGAACAUUUUCCCAGAGCUGCAAAUCACUGGAGGCUGCCUUCCAGGAGAAGAAACUU
rnacentral:lncRNA from 1 species